CAGCUUUUUCUCCCCCAGCUUCCGCUCUGCUUUCAGACGUUUUCAGAGGGCUGCCGGCUCUCCUAGACCAGCACUACCUAGCGCAGAGCGAGGGAACCACCGCCGGGCGGCCAUCUUGCUCUUGGGCCUCCCGGUUAUGCCACGGCGCGCCGCUAGAUGGCGCGAUGGCCAACGCCCCACUCUGGUGCUCUCGGACUGCUCUGAAGAUGGCCCUCUGCCCCUAACAAGUCGUCACUGCCAACGCCAUCUUGCAUCACACCCGCUUUCCUCAGUGAACCAGACGUCCAAAUCCCAGCCUCUGCACCGAUCAGUAUCACCCUCUCAUCCCCAUCCUGCUCCACGUGCACCCGACAUGGACAUCACCUGUUCUGCCAGUCCGGUGCGGGGCCUUCCUCCUCUUGGUGACAACAUUGCAGCUGGCCUUUGAAGAACCAUUUCCUUACUUGCCAACAUGUGGUUCUGGGACCCUGCACUCACUCCUGUGGAAUUACACCAUAAUGGGAACUACGACAAAAAUAAGCCGAAAUACACCCACAGUGGUUGGCCUGGGUGGACUGCUAUCACGGACGAACACAUCUGCAGGCUGAGCUUACUCCUCCCUCACACCUGGCGUCUGGAGCGGGGAGAUGGCUGCUGCUUCAGAAUCUGGACACGCACAGCUGUGGGGUGGCACAGCCAAGGGCUGGCUUGCUGUUGCCUCUGGGGUGCCGAGCAUCUCCAGCCUCACCCCAAAUACACACGGCCCUGCAGCCCAUUUCUGCUGAGAUGAGAGGCUUAAAGUCAGCCGUCUGUGACCAUCAUAGCCUGGACUAUAAGUCACAUGUCAGAAAUGGACCCAAAAGGGGGCAUCUGUGGGGAGGAAUGAACACACCUGCUCUGGUUUGGAGCCAGAGAGCCUUCCUGCCCACCUACGUGCCUCAGUUUCCCUAUCUGAAUCAUCUACCUAAAAACAACAUUGUGCUCUCAGAAUAAAAGCUUUGGAAAGGUCUGAAAAAUAUAAAGACAAAAUCAGCUACAAGUUUCCCAUUAACAUCUUGCUGUUUUCAUUUAUCUUUUAUGUAACCAAAUACAAUUUUGCAUCUUGUUUUUAAA